UACGAAGGGGGCUAGCGUUGUUCGGAUUUACUGGGCGUAAAGCGCACGUAGGCGGACUAUUAAGUCAGGGGUGAAAUCCCGGGGCUCAACCCCGGAACUGCCUUUGAUACUGGUAGUCUUGAGUUCGAGAGAGGUGAGUGGAAUUCCGAGUGUAGAGGUGAAAUUCGUAGAUAUUCGGAGGAACACCAGUGGCGAAGGCGGCUCACUGGCUCGAUACUGACGCUGAGGUGCGAAAGCGUGGGGAGCGAACGGG
rnacentral:rRNA from 1 species